rnacentral:rRNA from 1 species
GACAGAGGUGCCAAGCGUUAGGCGGAAUCACUGGGCUUAAAGCGUGUGUAGGCGGGCGAUCAAGUACCUUGUGAAAUCCCUAGGCUUAACCGGGGAACUGCGUCUGAUACUGGAUGGCUUGAGUGUGGGAGAGGGAUGCGGAAUUCCAGGUGUAGCGGUGAAAUGCGUAGAUAUCUGGAGGAACACCGGUGGCGAAGGCGGCAUCCUGGACCAUUACUGACGCUGAGGAGCGAAAGCGUGGGGAGCGAACAGG